GUUCUCUGUCAGGGUCUCCCUGGGAGGGACGCAGCCACCGCAGCUGGUUGGGGCCUGGCUUCGCCCAGGACAGUCCUUUCCUUUCCCAUUGUCUUUGGAUGACUAUCGCUGGGCUGGGACAUGAGGCGGGCAGAGGCGCGGGUCACCCUUAGGACCCCCCUCUUGCUGCUGGGGCUCUGGGCGCUCCUGGCUCCGGUCCGGUGUUCUCAAGGCCGUCCCUUGUGGCACUACGCCUCCUCCGAGGUGGUGAUUCCCAGGAAGGAGACACACCAUAGCAAAGGCCUUCAGUUUCCCGGCUGGCUGUCCUACAGCCUGUGUUUUGGGGUCAAAGACACGUCAUUCACAUGCGGAGGAAACACCUUCUUUGGCCUAGACAUCUGCUGGUGACAACUCAGGAUGACCAAGGAGUCUUGCAGAUGGGUGACCCCUACAUCCCUCCAGACUGCUAGUACCUCGGCUACCUGGAGGAGGUGCCUCUGUCCAUGGUCACCGUCGACACGUGCUAUGGGGACCUCAGAGGCAUCAUGAGGCUGGACGACCUUGCGUACGAAAUCAAACCCCUCCAGGAUUCCCGCAGGCCAGUGUGUUUUUGAAACACUUGCUCCUGUGUAUAACGAAACCAUGACAACGGUUCGCUGUGGAAACCUCAUAGUGGAGGGGAGGGAGGAAUGUGACUGUGGCUCCUUCAAGCAGUGUUAUGCCAGUUAUUGCUGCCAAAGUGACUGUCACUUAACACCGGGGAGCAUCUGCCAUAUAGGAGAGUGCUGUACAAACUGCAGCUUCUCCCCACCAGGGACUCUCUGCAGACCUAUCCAAAAUAUAUGUGACCUUCCAGAGUACUGUCACGGGACCACCGUGACAUGUCCCGCAAACGUUUAUACGCAAGAUGGAACCCCGUGCACUGAAGAAGGCUACUGCUAUCGUGGGAACUGCACUGAUCGCAAUGUGCUCUGCAAGGCGAUCUUUGGUGUCAGUGCUGAGGAUGCUCCCGAGGUCUGCUAUGACAUAAAUCUUGAAAGCUACCGAUUUGGACAUUGUAUUAGACAACAAACAUAUCUCAGCUACCAGGCUUGUGCAGGAAUAGAUAAGUUUUGUGGAAGACUGCAGUGUACCAAUGUGACCCAUCUUCCCCGGCUGCAGGAACGUGUUUCAUUCCAUCACUCAGUGAGAGGAGGGUUUCAGUGUUUUGGACUGGAUGAACACCAUGCAACAGACACGACUGAUGUUGGGCGUGUGAUAGAUGGCACUCCUUGUGUUCAUGGAAACUUCUGUAAUAACACCCAGUGCAAUGUGACUAUCACUUCACUGGGCUACAACUGCCACCCUCAGAAGUGCGGUCAUAGAGGAGUCUGCAACAACAGAAGGAACUGCCAUUGCCAUAUAGGCUGGGAUCCUCCACUGUGCCUAAGAAGAGGUGCUGGUGGGAGUGUCAACAGCGGGCCACCUCCAAAAAGAACACGUUCCGUCAAACAAAGCCAGCAAUCAGUGAUGUAUCUGAGAGUGGUCUUUGGUCGUAUUUACGCCUUCAUAAUUGCACUGCUCUUUGGGACAGCCAAAAAUGUGCGAACUAUCAGGACCACCACCGUUAAGGAAGGGACAGUUACUAACCCUGAAUAACACUAAUUCAGCCUCCCGAUCCCUGUAAAGAUACAGAGAAUAUAACAGCAAAAUCUAUGAAACAGGAUCAGGGGAAGGGAUGGCAAAGCUCAAGUCCACAUUUCUUGAAGUCCACAGGAAGCACAGGGUCCUGUUUCACAUCACAGGGAAACGGGAGGCAUUGGCUUCUGUCCCAGGUUCUUGUAGGUCGCUGAUGCUCACUCUGAAAUAAAUCUUCAAAAACACA
ensembl:lncRNA ADAM6 ADAM metallopeptidase domain 6 (pseudogene)